CGAGGCGCGUGGGAGGCCCGUGGGUGUGUGUGUGUGUGUGUGUGUGUGGGUGUGUGUGUGGGUGUGUGGGCGUGCGAGGCGCGCGCAGUGUCCGUGUGUCCCCCCCUACACGUUGAUCUUAUUCGAUCGGCCGGGCCGGGCCGGGCCGAGGUGAGAAAAGCGGCGCCGCGAAGCCCACGGGCGCGGCCCACGGGCGCGGCCCACGGGCGCUGUGCGGCGGCCGGCGGCGGGCGGGAUGAGUCGAUCAGAUAGGCGAGGCCGCGGCCGCUGAGCGCCCUGCGAUUCUGACCCG